AGUGAACGCUGGCGGUAGGCCUAACACAUGCAAGUCGAACGGCAGCACAGUAAGAGCUUGCUCUUACGGGUGGCGAGUGGCGGACGGGUGAGGAAUACAUCGGAAUCUACUUUUUCGUGGGGGAUAACGUAGGGAGACUUACGCUAAUACCGCAUACGACCUACGGGUGAAAGCAGGGGAUCUUCGGACCUUGCGCGAUUGAAUGAGCCGAUGUCGGAUUAGCUAGUUGGCGUGGUAAAGGCCCACCAAGGCGACGAUCCGUAGCUGGUCUGAGAGGAUGAUCAGCCACACUGGAACUGAGACACGGUCCAGACUCCUACGGGAGGCAGCAGUGGGGAAUAUUGGACAAUGGGCGCAAGCCUGAUCCAGCCAUACCGCGUGGGUGAAGAAGGCCUUCGGGUUGUAAAGCCCUUUUGUUGGGAAAGAAAAGCAGCAGGUUAAUACCCCGCUGUUCUGACGGUACCCAAAGAAUAAGCACCGGCUAACUUCGUG
rnacentral:rRNA from 1 species